ensembl:lncRNA
GAAAGGCUAGCUCUGGGCGCACAGGAGCCUGCCUGUUUUGCAGGUUAUAAGCAGCCUCCUCACAUUCUUCAUAGGCUUGGCCUGAGUGCUGUUCUUCCUUAUGGUACAGCAUGAGUUCUAAUAGGCCUCUUCAGGAUGGCAUAUUCUUGCAUACCUGUGAUUUCCAUCUUGAGUAGAGCAUGCUGAGCUAGCACACUCAGAGCUGGUAACACUGAGGGCAGCUAACGCUGAAUGCUCCUGGCAGCAGGGCUGGUGACACGGAAGGUGGCUGACAGCCGAGGAUGACGGACAGCAAUGAAGAAUAGCCAGGAGCCACCAUCUGUGGGGGCCAGAAGGAUUCCUGAGACAUGGGCAGCUGCUGGCUCCAGGUACCAAGCAGGGCUGGUGACACUAGAAGAGCUGCGCUCUGCUGAUUGGUGAUUUCUAUAUGAAUUCAGCAAGAACCCUCGGCUGAUUGGUGACACCUUGGAAGCUGGAACAGGGACCCUUGGACAAUGAUCAUCAUCAGGCUCAGGAAUGUUUUAUUUCCAUCUUACAUGUGGCUAAAAACCUGCACUAACUGGUACUGGGGAUCGAACUUGGGUCCUUCCACUUGUGAGGCAAGCAGCGGAACUACUGAGCUAAAUCCCUGGUGACACUGAAAUUUCUUUAUGUGAGCAAAGUGCUCCCAAAUUGAGCUACAUCUCAGCCCUGAAAUUGAAUUUUUUGGUUUAUUUUGAGACAGGGUGUCACUAUAUAGCCCAAGCCAGCCUUGAACUCGCUGAGUAAUCCAGGGUUGCCUUGAAUUUAUAAUCCUCCUGCCUCUGCCUCCAGGUGCUGAGAUUUAUAGGUAUGGGCACCACACCUAGCUUGAAAUUGAAUUAUUUUUUUUUUGGUACUGGGGAUUGAAGUCAGAACCUUGUGCUUUCGGGGCAGGUGGCGGAACCACUGAGCUAAAUCCCCAGCCCUGAAAUUUAAUUCUUUUUUUUUUUUUUUUUUGGUACCGGGGAUCAAACUUGGGUCCUUGUGCUUGCGCAGCAGGCGGGGAAACCACUGAGCUAAAUCCCCAGCUGAAAUUUAAUUCUUAAAAGGAGACGACGGUGUAGGAACUUCUAGAAGCUCUUCCAGGCUUUGCUCUCUCAAGGACUUCCUGACACAGAGGAGUCUCAACUAUUCCUGGUUGUCUUUACAGUGCAGAGGAAGGUUUCAGAGCAGGACUGAGAAUUGGGAAAGGAGAGGCCAGGAUGGAGAACUGCCAGGAGCCUCAGGGCCACCAAGAUGAAAUGGGAACACAGGUUGGAGCUGGCUCUGGAUAGUGAAUCCUUAAAACUAUCUGCAUCUAGGGCUGGGGAUUUAGCACAGUGGUUCCGGGGCCUGCCUCGCAAGCAUAAGGUCCUGAGUUCGAUCCCCAGUACCAAAAACAAAAACAAAACUAUCUGCGUCUGUUAUGUUCGAGAAAGUCUCUUUUGUGGAGACAGUUCAUGGAGAGAGAAUUCUAGUUUAAAGGCCUUGGAUUCAGUGUGUGAAGCCAUUGACUGCUUCCUUUGUUGUAAGAGAAGGAAUGGGAAGAGUAGCAGGUAGGGAUAUGGGUCAGUAAGUUGGAAUUUGAUAUCUUUCUACCUGAAGGCUGGAGUUUUCUUUAUGAAGAAUGAAGUUUUUCUGUGCACUGGAAGCAGGUGUUGUGGUAGGGAGAUGGAAGGCAGCAGACAUCUGAGGAAGGUGGAGAAAACAGCAGAUGGUCUCAACAAAGAAUGGAAACCAGUACUGAGAAUGGAAAGUAAGGCUUGGGAUGUUGCUCUGUGGAAGAACACUUGAACACUUGCCUAGCAUGGCCAAGUCCCUGGUUGGUUCAAUUCCCAACACCAGGCCAGGGAUUUAGCUCAGUGGUUUCGCUGCCUGCUGUGCAAGUGCAAGGACCCGAGUUCGAUCCCCGGAACCAAAAAAACAAAAAACAAACAAACAAACAAAAUAAAAUAAACAAAUCUACAUCCAUCUGCUCAGUGGCGUGAUUUUCUUUGUCAGUACUGAAGCUUAGGUGUCUGUAAAUUUGGUAAAAUAUAGAUUUUGUCUCUUUGUUGAGACUUCAUGGGAAUAAUCAUACAGAGGCCUAAUAAUUAUAAAAGAAAUUUAGCAAAGUCUUUCCAGCUCUUCCUCACAGCCAGACAGACAUUUACCAAGCACACAGUGGUUUUCUGUUUCACAUCUUCCUGCGGAUUGAGUUGGUUUCCUCCCCCAAGCAUCAAUACCUGCACACUUUGCGCUGCAGUUGUCAGUGUCAAAGGGUAAAGAAUGCCUGGUUUUUCUGUUUUCAGGAAAAUUAGAUUGAAACUCGGGCA